GCUGGGCGGUUUCUUCGUGCUUGGCUCUAGAUGCUGGCAUGUCUGCGCAUAAAUUGUCAGUGUUAUCGCAGCUAUAAUAGGCCCUAGUGCUAACAUUAAGCCAGCAGAUGCAGUGCCUGCCUGGCCAAACACACUUCCUGGGCCCCCAAGCUCGUACAGCUGCAACCAGUGUGUGCCAUUCGCAGUGACAAUGUGUAAAUCUUCCUGCCUUACACGCAGCACUGUCACAGCAGACCCAAGCCAAGGUGACUAUGAAGGGUAAAGAUUUUUAAAUUAAUUCAAGACCCUGAGGCAGCCAUAACAGCACAGCUAAAGACAGAAGAGAGGACUUCCGGACUCAUCCAGAAAGUGGCAAGAAAGAGGGAGAACUGAACUGAACAGAGGGAGAAGACUAGAAAGUUCUUCGGGAGAAAGAACCCUGUCCCUGCUAUGCCCCAUUCUGCAAUACCUUUCUCCUGGAUGGGGCAGUAUCACUCUUGCUGCAUGUCCUUCUUGUCUUAUUUGUACAUCACCUUCUUAGAUAGUCCCUGACCCCUCUAUUUAAAAUAAAAAACAAC